rnacentral:lncRNA from 1 species
UCCUGUUAGUUUCAUGAUCUUGUCUUCUGUUUCUCAGGGCUUAACAGGAGCUGAUGGCCCGCCUGGGCCGAAUGGCCCCCGAGGAGACAGGGGUGCAAUAGGACCUCCUGGGCCAGUUGGACCAGCAGGCAAAGGACUUGCAGGACCACCAGGACCUCCAGGCCCCAGCGGGCUUCCCGGUGCAACAGGAUCGCAAGGGCCACCUGUAAGUAUCCUUUUCUUUCCAUGGAUCCCAUAUCUUAUAUCUCAAAGAAAUAAAUCAGUUGACUCACACUUCCACGUCCUUCGCUAGAGAUGGUAGUGCUGUUUGAAACAGAUGCUCUCACCCAUACAGAAGCUGGAUCUCUAUAAAGAUGGGGGGGGGGAAAUCACAGAGAAUAUAUCAAACUACUUUUUCUGCCUGAAUGAUCUUUAUGGGCUCUUUGAAGCUACUGCUAGCCAGAGAAAAACGUGAAGAGAUAAAGGGGAUCUUUCCCCCAAGUAUCUUCUGGCGAGUGGCUGGGUUUUUUGAAGAACAAGGACAUGGAACAUGCUCUUCAAAAGCCCGGAUUUGGUCCUUGGGGUGACUUUCCAGCGGCCCACUGGAGCCAAAGGCAAAAGUACAUGAUCAAAACCAAGAGCAUAGCUGAGCUCUUACUCCAAGCCCUCCGAAGAGACUUUCGAGCUCUUUGAAUGGGAAGAGGUCCCACACAUGGGCUGGGAAGCCAACUGUGAUGUCCUGAGAAAGGGGGCUUAUACCGUUCUCGAACCACUGAGGACCAGAUUGAGACCCAGGGCUGGAUGCUCCCCCACACAUGUUGUACAACACAUGCUUGACAUGCUGGAGGCCCCUCACUUCUAUUCCCCGCAUCUCUAGUAUGGACACCUGCCCGAAAUCUGGGAUCACCAUUGCUGGUUGGUAGAGAUGGCCGCGGAUCAUCGGUUUGGUAAUUUGUGCCAAUUUGUUUAGUGGUCAAACAGGUGUCUGGUGCUUCCCAACGCCACCUCCUCCAGGGAUGGUCAGUAUCAGCAGUACUGGGGUAGAUAUACCAAUGGUUGGUCUUCCUUUAAGGCCGUCCCGUCCCUCUGAGCUUGAUGGGCAUUGAAUGGGUAUAAACAAAAUCUGAGCUAUAAUCCAUGGUGGGCAAGGAAGGGAAAGACAGGACAAAUGUGAUUGGUCGGUGUCUGGUGCUUCCCAACGCCACCUCCUCCAGGGAUGGUCAGUAUCAGCAGUACUGGGGUAGAUAUACCAAUGGUUGGUCUUCCUUUAAGGCCGUCCCGUCCCUCUGAGCUUGAUGGGCAUUGAAUGGGUA